AGUGAACGCUGGCGGUAGGCCUAACACAUGCAAGUCGAACGGCAGCACAGUAAGAGCUUGCUCUUACGGGUGGCGAGUGGCGGACGGGUGAGGAAUACAUCGGAAUCUACUUUUUCGUGGGGGAUAACGUAGGGAAACUUACGCUAAUACCGCAUACGACCUACGGGUGAAAGCAGGGGAUCUUCGGACCUUGCGCGAUUGAAUGAGCCGAUGUCGGAUUAGCUAGUUGGCGGGGUAAAGGCCCACCAAGGCGACGAUCCGUAGCUGGUCUGAGAGGAUGAUCAGCCACACUGGAACUGAGACACGGUCCAGACUCCUACGGGAGGCAGCAGUGGGGAAUAUUGGACAAUGGGCGCAAGCCUGAUCCAGCCAUACCGCGUGGGUGAAGAAGGCCUUCGGGUUGUAAAGCCCUUUUGUUGGGAAAGAAAAGCAGCAGGUUAAUACCCCGCUGUUCUGACGGGACCCAAAGAAUAGGCACCGGCUAACUUCG
rnacentral:rRNA from 1 species